UGGGCGAAAGGCUCGUUUAUUAAUAAAAAAGAAGAUAAUACAAUAUAAAAUAAGCACAAGCUCGUGCACAUAAGUGAGCUGACUGACAGCUAGCACAGGUUUAACUAGACUCCAUGUUAGCUGACAGUCCGCCAAUGUUAUUUAACCUUGAUCAGCCUGGAUCAGUGUUUAGCUCGCAUCAUGGCAACACACACACAUUGUGUCGGUACGGAGGCGAUACAUGACGCGAUGUUGUCCUGAACAGCAGCGACGAGCAGCAGCAGAUAGUUAACGACGUUGUUCAUCUGAGAAGGAGCUCAGACGUGAAGUAGCGUCGCAAACUUUAACUUUAGCUUUCGGCUCACGCUAAAAAGAAGCUGGUCGAAGGGAGCGGCCGGGUUUCACACGAGAAGCAUGGCAGCCAAGUGACGCGUUGAUGUACUCACUGUGCAAAUCUCAGACUCUGCAGAGUUGGGAAACUCAGAAUAACUGCAGCCAUCGCGACCAGCUGCUGAGACUCGCUGCUAGCUAGCUAGCUGAUCAGGACUCGUAGUAUCGAGCGGCCAAUGAGGAAGAAGGAUAUGCAGUGGCCACAAGUCACCAGCAGAGGGCAGCGUUCCUCCGUCAAAUAGGAGCUCAGAGCCUAUCGUAUCCUUCUCUACGGCGGUCUUUGAUGAAGAGGAAGGUCAUCACAGUGAUCAGAAAGAGACCCACUCCUGUGGC